rnacentral:lncRNA from 10 species
CUCAGAGCCCCGGGCAAGGCCACCCUAAGUCAGGGAGACCAUGGACCUGGACCCUAGCCAACCAUUCCCCUUGUCCGGUGGGCUCAAGGGUCACUCAUCAAGGGGGUGUGGCCUCUGCCAUUCAUCCUUAGAGGUCUAGAAUUUUGCACCCCAUCACCCACCUGCCCGUACCCACUCCCCACACAUAAGCCCUCUCUUUGAUCAUCGUGCACUGUGCAGCACUGGCCCACUGCCCUUCCGCCUGCAGGCAUUUCCUCAUGCCCAGGGUCCUGCAGACAGCAGAUGGUCAUACAGCAAGAGUAAUUCGAUCCUCAUUCAACAAGCGUUUAUGAAGUCCCUGCUGUGUGCCAGGCACUCAUCUAGGGACUGGGAUAGGGCAGUGAACAAACAGGCAAAACCCUUGCCCUCAUAGAGCUCAC